rnacentral:rRNA from 1 species
UUCCGGUUGAUCCCGCCGGACCCCACUGCUAUCGAGAUGGGACUAAGGUAUGCUAGUCGAACGACCAGAACUAUGUCUGGAAGUGGCACACUGCUCAGUAACACGUAGCUAACCUACCCUUAGGACGUGGAUACCCCCGAGAAAUUGGGGUUAAUCCGCGAUAGGUGUAAUGUCCUGGAAUGGUAUUACGCCUAAAGGUGUAUCAUACAUGUUUGAUAUACGCCUAAGGAUGGGGCUGCGGCCGAUCAGGCUGUUGGUGAGGUAAUGGCUCACCAAACCUUUGACCGGUACGGGCCAUGAGAGUGGUAGCCCGGAGAUGGACACUGAGACAAGGGUCCAGGCCCUAAGGGGCGCAGCAACCGCGAAACCUCCACAAUGCACUCACGUGCGAUGGGGCUAUCUCGAGUGCCACCUGAUGAAGGUGGCUUUUCCUAGGUCUUCAAAGCCUUGGGAAUAAGAGGGGGGCAAGACUGGUGUCAGCCGCCGCGGUAACACCAGCCCCUCGAGUGGUGGGGAUGAUUAUUUGGCCUAAAGCGUCCGUAGCCGGCCGAGCAAGUCUUCCGUUAAAUCCAGCGUCUCAAGCGUUGGACUGCGGGAGAUACUACACGGCUAGAGAGUGGGAGAGGUCAGCGGUAUUCUGGGGGUAGGGGCGAAAUCCUUUGAUCCCCGGAGGACCACCAGUGGCGAAGGCUGCUGACUAGAACACGUCUGACGGUCAGGGACGAAAGCUGGGGUAGCGAACCGGAUUAGAUACCCGGGUAGUCCCAGCCGUAAACGAUGCAUGCUAG